rnacentral:rRNA from 1 species
CGAACGGGUGAGUAACGCGUGAGCAACCUGCCUCAUACAACGGGAUACCCGAGGGAAACUUCGGUUAAUACGGUAUAAGACCACACUACCGCAUGGUAGAGGGGUAAAAGGAGAAAUCCGGUAUGAGAUGGGCUCGCGUCGCAUUAGCUAGUUGGUGAGGUAACGGCCCACCAAGGCGACGAUGCGUAGCCGACCUGAGAGGGUGAUCGGCCACAUUGGGACUGAGAUACGGCCCAGACUCCUACGGAAGGCAGCAG